GAAACUCGCCUACAUGAAGCUGGAAUUGCUAGUAAUCACAGGUCAGCAUACUGUGGUGAAUACGUUCCCGGGCCUUGUACACACCGCCCGUCACACCAUGAGAGUUGAGAAUACCCGAAGCCCAUGUCAAAGUGGUCGAAGGUAGGCUUGAUGAUUGGGGUGAAGUCGUAACAAGGUACC
rnacentral:rRNA from 1 species